GAGGGUGUGGCUCAGUGGUAGAGCACGUGCUUAGCAUGCACGAGGUCCUGGGUUCAAUUCCCAGAACCUCCA
rnacentral:tRNA from 1 species